UAACACAUGCAAGUCGAGCGGAAACGAAGAGGUGCUUACACCUCUGGCGUCGAGCGGCGGACGGGUGAGUAAUGCUUGGGAAUAUGCCUUAUGGUGGGGGACAACAGUUGGAAACGACUGCUAAUACCGCAUGAUGUCUACGGACCAAAGUGGGGGACCUUCGGGCCUCACGCCAUAAGAUUAGCCCAAGUGGGAUUAGCUAGUUGGUGAGGUAAUGGCUCACCAAGGCGACGAUCCCUAGCUGGUUUGAGAGGAUGAUCAGCCACACUGGGACUGAGACACGGCCCAGACUCCUACGGGAGGCAGCAGUGGGGAAUAUUGCACAAUGGGCGCAAGCCUGAUGCAGCCAUGCCGCGUGUGUGAAGAAGGCCUUCGGGUUGUAAAGCACUUUCAGUAAGGAGGAAAGGUUAAGUGUUAAUAGCACUUAGCUGUGACGUUACUUACAGAAGAAGCACCGGCUAACUCCGUGCCAGCAGCCGCGGUAAUACGGAGGGUGCGAGCGUUAAUCGGAAUUACUGGGCGUAAAGCGUACGCAGGCGGUUUGUUAAGCGAGAUGUGAAAGCCCCGGGCUCAAUCUGGGAACUG
rnacentral:rRNA from 1 species